rnacentral:rRNA from 1 species
UACGUAGGUCCCGAGCGUUGUCCGGAUUUAUUGGGCGUAAAGCGAGCGCAGGUGGUUUAUUAAGUCUAGUGUAAAAGGCAGUGGCUCAACCAUUGUAUGCAUUGGAAACUGGUAGACUUGAGUGCAGGAGAGGAGAGUGGAAUUCCAUGUGUAGCGGUGAAAUGCGUAGAUAUAUGGAGGAACACCGGUGGCGGAAGCGGCUCUCUGGCCUGUAACUGACACUGAGGCUCGAAAGCGUGGGGAGCAAACAGG